rnacentral:rRNA from 1 species
UUCCGUAGGUGAACCUGCGGAAGGAUAUUAUCGAACUCUG